AACGAACGCUGGCGGCAUGCCUAACACAUGCAAGUCGAACGAGACCUUCGGGUCUAGUGGCGCACGGGUGCGUAACGCGUGGGAACCUGCCCUUAGGUUCGGAAUAACUCCCCGAAAGGGGUGCUAAUACCGGAUAAUGUCUUCGGACCAAAGAUUUAUCGCCUUUGGAUGGGCCCGCGUUGGAUUAGCUAGUUGGUAGGGUAAAAGCCUACCAAGGCGACGAUCCAUAGCUGGUCUGAGAGGAUGAUCACCCACACUGGGACUGAGACACGGCCCAGACUCCUACGGGAGGCAGCAGUGGGGAAUAUUGGACAAGGGGCGAAAGCCUGAUCCAGCAAUGCCGCGUGAGUGAUGAAGGCCUUAGGGUUGUAAAGCUCUUUUACCCGGGAUGAUAAUGACAGUACCGGGAGAAUAAGCUCCGGCUAACUCCGUG
rnacentral:rRNA from 1 species